GCCUCAGCUUGCGCGCCACUAUUUGAAUUGUGUGCUUUGACGUCGCCUUCAUUUUACAAAGGUUUGAAGAUUUCUCAGUUCUUUGCUUAUAUUUCAAGGAUCACUGGCUGGUAAUAGGACAUGCGUGGUUGGACAGUGCUACAACCAUGCCAACUCCGAUACAAACAAUCUUGUUGAAAGGAACCGUAGACUGGAUGAUCUUAUCAGCAUUCUCAUCAAGAAGACAGAUGGAUACUUCCAGGUCAUUCAUGAUUUACAGGCAGUUGGAAGAAUGAAAAAUGCUUCUUUGAAGACUGUUUCUGUA